GCCGUCGUCCAAUGGCAAUCAAGGGUUUUUGAAAAAACCAGCCUUCGCGUUUAUCGCUGGCUAAUUCGCGAGACGUGGUGCCGGUAAUAUUUAAUAGAAAAAUAAGGCUUAUCUCUUCGUGUCCUGUUCGUGACAGAAUAUCGGACUGAACUGGACUUCGGGCUAUAACGGAGAUCGCGCUCGUGCGGAUCUGAGAACGCUGCGGAAAAAUAACAAAAAUAACACCGCGGGCAGGCUAGUCCACCUCCUAGCUUGUCAUAGGCAACAAGGGGAAUUUAGCGGGCAACUCAGUUAGCGGCUAGUUAUGUCUUUUCGCCGACAGAACCAACCUGGACCCGGUGGCCGCAAAACAUCCAAUGGGACAUCAGGGUCAAUGGCUUCAUCCGUUCCGGGGAGUAACUCUAACAGACCCACCCCGGGCAGGUAAAGCAGAAGUUGGGCUGCCCCGCUCAGAAAGUCCGCGGAUUGUCAUUUUAACACGAGGCCUACCGGUCAAAGUGGGCGUUGUCCAUAGCUCAUACUUGAUCUACUCCCUAGAACACCAAUUGUUUCGGGUCUUGUUAAAUUAGCAGGAUCACUAGCCAAUCGCAGCGAAGAAUGUUUGAGUGACACAAUUUUGAGCCAAUGGUUGAAAAGAUUGUCGUAAUCGGUACACAUCCACCCAGAAAUAAUUUUGUCAGCCAAUAAAAUUUAGAUUUUAAUUGACUGCCAUCUUUUCCAGCUUAUGACUGCUCUCGGAGGCGGGUCACGGGGAAGGGAUCAGCAGUGUUUUGUUGUUGUUUUCCGAUCCCAUGAGAUUCAGUAUUGUGCUCGACUUUCAACUUGAGCCAUUUUAGACAUACGCCUUCAAAGAAGAGCCGGGAUGCAUGUGACAAA